UACGUAGGCAGCGAGCGUUAAUCGGAAUUACUGGGCGUAAAGCGUGCGCAGGCGGUUCUCCAAGUCCGUUGUGAAAGCCCCGGGCUCAACCUGGGAAUGGCAGUGGAAACUAGGGGACUGGAAUCUGGCAGAGGGGGGUGGAAUGCCGCGUGUAGCAGUGAAAUGCGUAGAGAUGCGGCGGAACACCGAUGGCGAAGGCAGCCCCCUGGGCUGAGAUUGACGCUCAGGCACGAAAGCGUGGGGAGCAACAGG
rnacentral:rRNA from 1 species